rnacentral:lncRNA from 1 species
CUCAUCUCUUCUUCUCCAUUUUCUCUCCUCUUCUCUGUUUUGUUUUUAGAAAAUUUUAUGUUCUCUCCUCUUCCUCUUCUAUUAUGUCAUCUCCUUCUUGGGUGGUUGUGGCUGGUGGCUAUGGCUAGUGGUCGUGGCUGGUGGCUAUGGCUAGUGGUCGUGGCUGGUGGUCGUGGCGGGUGGUCGUAUCUGGUGGUUGGGGAUGGUGGUUGUGGCUGCUGCUUGGUUGGUCGUUGGUUGUGGGGCGAUUAGGUGUGGUUGCUAGUUGCUUGGGUCGUCGGGACUGUUAAUCCCUCCUCUCCAGACGGGUUUAGCUAAGAACACCUAAGGAUGUGUUUUUGGUGGGUCCAAUAUUAGUUAAUUCCAUUUAAAAUUAGAAUAGGGUGGAACAAUAAAACUUUAGCCAAGCCAUUCCAAGCUUGCACGAUGUAACAAACACGCCCAUCCUACACCACUAACAGACAUGUAUAAAACCCAUGUAACAGUGCUUAUUUGAAACAUGAAAAGAAUAUGUUUCUACAUGGUAUCUAGAGAGCCUUCAUUUUUCUUUAAAAAAUUUCUGCUUCCCUUUCGUUCAAUGGCCUCCUCCGCCUCCUCCUCCUCCUCUUCCUCCUCCUCCUUCGCUGGUGUUCUCCCCUUCC